rnacentral:rRNA from 1 species
UACAGAGGGUGCGAGCGUUGUCCGGAAUCACUGGGCGUAAAGGGCGCGUAGGCGGCCUGAUAAGUAGGGGGUGAAAUCCUGUGGCUUAACUGCAGGGCUGCCUCCUAGACUGUUAGGCUCGAGCACGGUAGAGGCAGAUGGAAUUCCCAGUGUAGAGGUGAAAUUCGCAGAUAUCGGGAAGAACACCCGUGGCGAAGGCGGCUCUCUGGGACGGUACUGACGCUGAGACGCGAAAGCGUGGGGAGCGAACAGG